CCAAGAUCAGCGACCGAGGUGAAAAAUUCACCAUACUGAUCUGCAAAUUUCUCAAUCAUCAAAGAUAUCGGUACAACAAUAAUUUUUUUUCGUUAUUGAUCUGAUAGUUUUGCAAAGAUCAAUGGCUUAUCUUUUGGUUAGUUUCGAGCUACCAUUUCCGUCAGAUCAGAUCCUGCUUCUAUUCAUGAAAGACAGCUAUAUCUAGCUAAUAUGGAUUCCGGGCUCGUCUAUUCACAUCGAUAUAUACUUAUCUCCGGAUGAGAAAGCAAAGGAUUUUAACUUGGACGCACCAUGCGACUUUGUAAGGUUGUUACUCUCUGAUAUAAGAGAAUGAAGGGCCAUUGAUUUCUGGAAAUGCUCUCUUAUCGUGUUAAAAGGUAAAUUCAGUGUUGAUGUGCUAAUUUUUUGGUAUUGAAAAACUUAUUUAUAGAGGUCAUAGUCUCUUGGGGUUAGGUGGAUAGAAAAUUUGGCAAUAGGUUUGUGAUCAUGCUAGAUUUUAAAAUUUGAGAAUAUCUUUUUUUUCUUCAGGUUGUUAUGGAAUUAAAAUUUUAUAUGCAAUUAAUUUAGCAUCUAAAUUGGAAUAUGUUUUAUAGUUUUCUAAAUAAGUUUCCAAAAAUAUAGGGCUAGUUAAAAGCUUCGGAAAUUAGUAUGUAUAUGGAAUAGUUUUUCCAUACUAAAACAACUAAAUCACUUCGGGAAUUAGUAUCCGAUAUUUAUGAUUUGAAUAUAUGCGAAAUCUCAGAAUUAUUAAUUAAUUUUAAGUAAUAUACCAAAAAAUUUAGGAUUCGUAGUUAAUGAGUCGUAUUAAAUAAUAUAAAAAACUGUUAACUUGCUUUUCUUAGGGG